rnacentral:rRNA from 1 species
UACGUAGGGUGCGAGCGUUAAUCGGAAUUACUGGGCGUAAAGCGUGCGCAGGCGGUUCGUCAAGUCUGAUGUGAAAGCCCCGGGCUCAACCUGGGAAUGGCAUGGGUAACUGGCGAGCUGGAGUGCGGCAGAGGGGGGUGGAAUUCCGCGUGUAGCAGUGAAAUGCGUAGAGAUGCGGAGGAACACCGAUGGCGAAGGCAGCCCCCUGGGCCGACACUGACGCUCAGGCACGAAAGCGUGGGGAGCAAACAGG